UACGUAGGGUGCAAGCGUUGUCCGGAAUUAUUGGGCGUAAAGAGCUCGUAGGCGGUUCGUCGCGUCGGCUGUGAAAACCCGGAGCUCAACUCCGGGCCUGCAGUCGAUACGGGCGGACUCGAGUUCGGCAGGGGAGACUGGAAUUCCUGGUGUAGCGGUGAAAUGCGCAGAUAUCAGGAGGAACACCGGUGGCGAAGGCGGCAUCCUGGACCAACACUGACGCUGAUGAGCGAAAGCCAGGGGAGCAAACGGG
rnacentral:rRNA from 1 species